ensembl:lncRNA
CAUGCUCAUAUAUAUGAUCAUUUUAACAAUCACAUGAACUAGUUACUUAUUAAUGUUUACUCUCACAGCUAAUAAGUGGUUAAAAAUGUAACUAUGAUUUCUAAUUGUAUAGACUUCUCAUGUAUCACAUAGAGGGUAUGUUUAUUUGUAAUAGAGUGUUUUGUUUACAUUGUUAGCAUAUAGCUCUGAACAAUUUUCCUAGCAUAAUGAAAAUUACUUCAAGUUAAGCACUUUACUGAGAGCUUUGCAUACAAUUAAUUAAUCUAUAUAUAUGUGGGAUGGCAAGGCUGUUUUAGUCUGAAUCAGAAGAAAUCUUCAGUACUCCACUAUUUUUAACCUGCAUAAAUAGCAGUUUUAUUUGGUUCAGUCAAAUAUGAUUUCCAUGUUACAAGGAGUAAUUGAGGUUCAGAAAAAUUAAAUAAAUUGUACAAGGCCAAUACCAGUAAGCAAUAUACUUAAGAUCUGAACUUAUAUUUAAUUACAAAUGCAUUUUCUCCAAUAUGACUUUGGCAGUGGAACUCAAGAGUACUGAGUGAGUGAAGUGAAGUCACUCAGUCGUGUCUGACUCUUUGUGACCCCGUGGACUGUAGCCUACCAGGCUUCUCUGUCCAUGGGAUUCUCCACGCAAGAAUACUGGAGUGGGUUACCAUUUCUUUCUCCAGGGGAUCUUCCCAACCCAGGGAUCGAACCCAGGUCUCCCGCAUUGGAGGCAGAUGCUUUAACCUCUGAGCCACCAGGGAAGCCCUGGUUAAAUUAAAUUAAUAUAUUUAAUUAUAAAUGCAUUUUCUCUCUCUUGCUUCUCAAAUAUGACUUUGGCAGUGGAACUCAAGAGUACUGAAGUCAGGGAUAAACAUUACACAGUAGUUUGGACAUGGAAUUAUAUAAAGUACAGUGCAAAAAUUACAUGAAUUCUUAACAAGAGGCUCUGGAAAAUUUUUACACUAUGUAGGAUAACUUUCUGCUAAAAGUACAAUACUACAAAAAGGUAGGAAGAGUCCAUUUGCUCCUAGAGCCCAUCCCCUUAUGCUACUAUCUUAGAGUAAAUGUUCACAAUAAGAUUUGCCACUGAUCAAUACAACUGAACAAUCUGCUGAGAACAAGAAAAAGAUUAUAUGAAAGAAAAUUAAAUUUGGAUGAGACCUUACGCUUAGUUGAUUUCUAUACUGCUACUCAAACCCCUGGGCUUCCCAGGUGGCACUAGUGAUAAAGAAUCACAGGCAAUGCAGAAGACCGAGGGAUCGAACCCAGGUCUCUUAUGUCUCCUGCAUUGGCAGGCCAGUUCUUUACUACUAGUGCCACUGGGGAAGCCCUCUAUAUGCACAUCAGUUCAGUUCAGUCACUCAGUCGUGUCCAACUCUUUGCGACCCCAUGGGCUGCAGCACGCCAGGCCUCCCUGUCCAUUGUCUUAUUUGUUAAACCCUAUUCAAAUAGUAUACCUUUUAAGUUCCUGUCAUGUAUAAUGAUUCUAGAGACUAGAGGGUUAAGUUUUUCUUAUAUUGCUCUUACUUUUGAAAUUAUAUUAGCCAAUCUUGUUCCUUUGCCCAUCCCAAUGAUCUGUAGAAGAGCUUAUCAAGUUUCAUGAAAGAAUAUGUUGAGAUUUUAAAUAAGCAUCACACUCACUUAAUAGUUUAAUUCGAGGAGGACUGCUAUAUUUAAGAUACUGAAUGUUUAUAUCCAUGACAGUGAUAACGCCCCCAGUUACUAUGUGCCGUUUUAUGUUCUUCAGUACUAACUGCUUUCUCUGUAAAGAUUCCAUCUUUUGUUACAUUUGCUCCUAUGUGUAUUACUAGGACAGAGUAAAAGGACCAAGUGGGUGAUUAAAUAGUUAAUCUCACUAGGAGACUGCAAGUAAAAAAAUAUUGCUAUAUUUAUAUAGCUAUACAUAUAUAUUUUUUAAGCUAUAUUCUAUAGGCUAAUAAUCAUGUAAGAAAGCCACUUUUCUUAACCACAAAACACAGCAGGCUUGAUUAGCAACAAAACCAUGCAACAAAAGCAUGGGACAUGUCCCCAAACGUUCAAACAAUGGUGGCAUGAGACCCACAUCCUGCCAGUGAGCUAAGUAAGUUAAUAGUCCCUAGCAUAUGCUCUUUGCACGUGCUAGGCUUUUAAAAAGUAUACAAAUGUGGAUCCCUCCUUAGCCAAGGGACAGACCCUUUUGAGCAUAUAUUUCAUAGUGCAGUCUGCUCCAGCCAUCAGACACAAAAUUCAAAAAACUGAUGGUCAUCAGAUCCCUAUGAAUGACUUGCUACAAUUGGCUUAUUUGGUUUUCAAUAAUAGGGAUAUGGCCAAAAAGGUGGAAUGAACACAGAGAGAUAAAGAAAAAAACCCAAAUGAUGACAAAGUCUUUGUCCACUCAAAGACCACCAAAAGACCAGGAUUUCUGGGCCAGUUUGGCCACGGUAGACCACAAGGCCCAUGGGUACCCAGGCAAAAUCAGUGUGCCCUGUGUGGGCAGAAGGGACACUGGAGUAAAGACUGUGAUUGAUACUUCCUUUGCAAACAGCCAGGUCAUUGGCAGAGGGAAUGGCCCAGAUGCCAGUAUGGCAGGGGCCCCUCUGCCUUUGAUGGUUUCACCAUCUAAAGAUUGAUGGGGUCCAAUGCCUAAAGUGGCUCUGCCUUAGAGACGCCACCUACAUAACUAACGCCAAGACUCAGGUGGUCACUGAAAUGGCGGACCACUUGAUAAAAUUUCUCAUAGACACUGGUGCAGCCUUCUCAGUCGUAACCGAAAAGGUUGAAAACCUUAACGACUGUAAGAAAUAGGUAAUAGGAAUCAGUAUCAGUUCAGCCACUCAGUUGUAUCCGACUCUUUGUGACCCCAUGAACCAUAGCAUGCCAGGUCUCCCUGUCUAUCACCAACUGCCAGAGUCUAUCCAAACACACGUCCACUGAGUCAGUGAUGCCAUCCAACCAUCUCAUCCUCUGUCAUCCCCUUCUCCUCCUGCCCUCAAUCCCUCCCAGCAUCCGAGUCUUUUCCAAUGAGUCAACUCUUUGCAUGAGGUGGCCAAAGUACUGGAGUUUCAGCUUUAGCAACAUUCAUUCCAAAGAAAUCCCAGGGCUGAUCUCCUUCAGAAUGAACUGGUUGGAUCUCCUUGCAGUCCAAGGGACUCUCAAGAGUCUUCUCCAACACCACAGUUCAAAAGCAUCAAUUCUUCAGCACUCAGCUUUCUUUACAGUUCAACUCUCACAUCCAUACAUGACCACAGGAAAAACCAUAGCCU